rnacentral:rRNA from 1 species
AUUGAACGCUGGCGGCAGGCUUAACACAUGCAAGUCGAACGAGUGGCGGACGGGUGAGUAAUGCUUGGGAAUCUGGCUGAUGGAGGGGGAUAACUACUGGAAACUGUAGCUAAUACCGCAUACCAUCGGAUGUGCCCAAGUGGGAUUAGUUAGUUGGUGGGGUAAAGGCUCACCAAGGCGACGAUCUCUAGCUGGUCUGAGAGGAUGACCAGCCACACUGGAACUGAGACACGGCCCAGACUCCUACGGGAGGCAGCAGUGGGGAAGAUUGCGCAAUGGGGGCAACCCUGAUGCAGCCAUGCCGCGUGAAUGAAGAAGGCCUUCGGGUUGUAAAGUACUUUCGGCAGCGAGGCGUUAACCACAGAAGAAGCACCGGCUAACUCCGUGCCAGCAGCCGCGGUAAUAC